CUGGCAUUAUUUGUGCCUGGCAAGAGCUGUGGAUAGAGAGGAUCACUAUUUAGGAAGAUUUUAUGAUCAUGAUAGGCUGGAUUCAGAGCGACACGUUGCAGUCGAAGGCACAUCCGCUCAUUCAGGAUAUUGGGAUCUGCCUUCAUGACUUCACUACGGUCUCUAUUUAGCAUGUUUUCCAAGAGAUGAACAGUACUGCUGAUUGGGUUGCCUCCUAU
rnacentral:lncRNA from 1 species